CCUACGGGUGGCAGCAGUGGGGAAUAUUGGACAAUGGGGGAAACCCUGAUCCAGCGACGCCGCGUGAGUGAAGAAGUAUUUCGGUACGUAAAGCUCUAUCAGCAGGAAAGAAAAUGACGGUACCUGACUAAGAAGCGCCGGCUAACUACGUGCCAGCAGCCGCGGUCAUACGUAGGGGGCAAGCGUUAUCCGGAUUUACUGGGUGUAAAGGGAGCGUAGACGGCAGCGCAAGUCUGGAGUGAAAUGCCGGGGCGCAACCCCGGAACUGCUCAGGAAACUGUGAGGCUGGAGUGAAGGAGAGGGAAGCGGAAUUCCUGGUGUAGCGGUGAAAUGCGUAGAUAUCAGGAGGAACACCGGCGGCGAAGGCGGCUUACUGGACUGUAACUGACGUUGAGGCUCGAAGGCGUGGGGAGCGAACAGGAUUAGAUACCCGAGUAGUC
rnacentral:rRNA from 1 species